UUUAUAUGAGAGUUUGAUCCUGGCUCAGGAUGAACGCUGGCGGCGUGCCUAAUACAUGCAAGUCGAACGAGUUCUGAUUAUUGAAAGGUGCUUGCAUCUUGAUUUAAUUUUGAACGAGUGGCGGACGGGUGAGUAACACGUGGGUAACCUGCCCUUAAGUGGGGGAUAACAUUUGGAAACAGAUGCUAAUACCGCAUAAAUCCAARAACCGCAUGGUUCUUGGCUGAAAGAUGGCGUAAGCUAUCGCUUUUGGAUGGACCCGCGGCGUAUUAGCUAGUUGGUGAGGUAACGGCUCACCAAGGCAAUGAUACGUAGCCGAACUGAGAGGUUGAUCGGCCACAUUGGGACUGAGACACGGCCCAAACUCCUACGGGAGGCAGCAGUAGGGAAUCUUCCACAAUGGACGCAAGUCUGAUGGAGCAACGCCGCGUGAGUGAAGAAGGCUUUCGGGUCGUAAAACUCUGUUGUUGGAGAAGAAUGGUCGGCAGAGUAACUGUUGUCGGC
rnacentral:rRNA from 2 species